GACGAACGCUGGCGGCGUGCCUAAUACAUGCAAGUCGAACGCAGUGGGGACGGGUGAGUAACACGUGGCUAACCUCCCAUCAGAGGGGAUAACACUUGGAAACAGGUGCUAAACCGAUACUGAUGGAUGGACCCGCGGUGCAUUAGGUAGUUGGUGAGGUAACGGCUCACCAAGGCCACGAUUCAUAGCCGGCCUGAGAGGAUGAUCGGCCACACUGGGACUGAGAAACGGCCCAGACUCCUACGGGCGGCAGCAGUAGUGAAUAUUCGGCAAUGGACGAAAGUCUGACCGAGCAAUGCCGCGUGAGUGAAGAAGGUUUUCGGAUCGUAAAGCUCUGUUGUUAGAGAAGCGGUAUCUAACCAAAAAGCCACGGCUAACUACGUGCCAGCAGCCGCGGUAAUAC
rnacentral:rRNA from 1 species